rnacentral:rRNA from 1 species
GACGAACGCUGGCGGCGUGCUUAACACAUGCAAGUCAAGGGGGCCCGCAAGGGCAACCGGCGAACGGGUGCGUAACACGUGAGCGACCUGCCCGCUUGUGGGGGAUAGCCGGCCCAACGGCCGGGUAAUACCGCAUACGCUUCCUGGGGGGCAUUCCCUGGGAAGGAAAGAUUUAUCGCAGGCGGAGGGGCUCGCGGCCUAUCAGCUAGUUGGCGAGGUAACGGCUCACCAAGGCGACGACGGGUAGCUGGUCUGAGAGGAUGGCCAGCCACAUUGGGACUGAGGAACGGCCCAGACUCCUACGGGAGGGAGCAGUGGGGAAUCUUGCGCAAUGGGCGAAAGCCUGACGCAGCGACGCCGCGUGGGGGAGGAAGGGCUUCGGCUUGUAAACCCCUGUUGCCCGGGACGAAUCCACUCUUUCGAGAGUGUUGACGGUACCGGGUGAGGAAGCACCGGCUAACUCCGCGCCAGCAGCCGCAGUAAUAC